GAUGAACGCUGGCGGCGUGCCUAAUACAUGCAAGUCGAGCGAACGGACGAGAAGCUUGCUUCUCUGAUGUUAGCGGCGGACGGGUGAGUAACACGUGGAUAACCUACCUAUAAGACUGGGAUAACUUCGGGAAACCGUAGCUAAUACCGGAUAAUAUUUUGAACCGCAUGGUUCAAAAGUGAAAGACGGUCUUGCUGUCACUUAUAGAUGGAUCCGCGCUGCAUUAGCUAGUUGGUAAGGUAACGGCUUACCAAGGCAACGAUGCAUAGCCGACCUGAGAGGGUGGUCGGCCACACUGGAACUGAGACACGGUCCAGACUCCUACGGGAGGCAGCAGUAGGGAAUCUUCCGCAAUGGGCGAAAGCCUGACGGAGCAACGCCGCGUGAGUGAUGAAGGUCUUCGGAUCGUAAAACUCUGUUAUUAGGGAAGAACAUAUGUGUAAGUAACUGUGCACAUCUUGACGGUACCUAAUCAGAAAGCCACGGCUAACUACGUGCCAGCAGCCGCGGUAAUACGUAGGUGGCAAGCGUUAUCCGGAAUUAUUGGGCGUAAAGUGCGCGUAGGCGGUUUUUUAAGUCUGAUGUGAAAGCCCACGGCUCAACCGUGGAGGGUCAUUGGAAACUGGAAAACUUGAGUGCAGAAGAGGAAAGUGGAAUUCCAUGUGUAGCGGUGAAAUGCGCAGAGAUAUGGAGGAACACCAGUGGCGAAGGCGACUUUCUGGUCUGUAACUGACGCUGAUGUGCGAAAGCGUGGGGAUCAAACAGGAUUAGAUACCCUGGUAGUCCACGCCGUAAACGAUGAGUGCUAAGUGUUAGGGGGUUUCCGCCCCUUAGUGCUGCAGCUAACGCAUUAAGCACUCCGCCUGGGGAGUACGACCGCAAGGUUGAAACUCAAAGGAAUUGACGGGGACCCGCACAAGCGGUGGAGCAUGUGGUUUAAUUCGAAGCAACGCGAAGAACCUUACCAAAUCUUGACAUCCUUUGACAACUCUAGAGAUAGAGCCUUCCCCUUCGGGGGACAAAGUGACAGGUGGUGCAUGGUUGUCGUCAGCUCGUGUCGUGAGAUGUUGGGUUAAGUCCCGCAACGAGCGCAACCCUUAAGCUUAGUUGCCAUCAUUAAGUUGGGCACUCUAAGUUGACUGCCGGUGACAAACCGGAGGAAGGUGGGGAUGACGUCAAAUCAUCAUGCCCCUUAUGAUUUGGGCUACACACGUGCUACAAUGGACAAUACAAAGGGCAGCGAAACCGCGAGGUCAAGCAAAUCCCAUAAAGUUGUUCUCAGUUCGGAUUGUAGUCUGCAACUCGACUACAUGAAGCUGGAAUCGCUAGUAAUCGUAGAUCAGCAUGCUACGGUGAAUACGUUCCCGGGUCU
rnacentral:rRNA from 1 species